rnacentral:snRNA from 1 species
CUGCUUGCCUAGUGCCGGGGCCUCGUUGAUCACCGAGGACAAGCCCUCAGUGCGAGGCGCCUGCAUUGCACUGCGCUCGCGUUCCCCUCUGCCACUAUCCCAAACUGGCGCAGAUCGGGCAUGCAAAUUGUUUAAUUCUGGUUCAACGCAAGAUAAAGCGCGACCGCC